rnacentral:rRNA from 1 species
GACGAACGCUGGCGGCGUGCUUAACACAUGCAAGUCGAGCGGUAAGGCCCUUUCGGGGGUACACGAGCGGCGAACGGGUGAGUAACACGUGGGUGACCUGCCCUCAGCUCUGGGAUAAGCCUGGGAAACCGGGUCUAAUACUGGAUAUGACUCCAUGACGCAUGUUGUGGGGUGGAAAGCCUUGUGCGGCUGAGGAUGGGCCCGCGGCCUAUCAGCUUGUUGGUGGGGNGAUGGCCUACCAAGGCGACGACGGGUAGCCGGCCUGAGAGGGCGACCGGCCACACUGGGACUGAGACACGGCCCAGACUCCUACGGGAGGCAGCAGUGGGAAUCUUGCGCAAUGGGCGAAAGCCUGACGCAGCGACGCCGCGUGAGGGAUGACGGCCUGGUGUAAC